rnacentral:lncRNA from 1 species
AAUUGUGCUAGAUUUAAGCGAGAUUAUAGUAAUUCUAACAUAAUGGUUUGGAGGUAACAAUUAAAAUGUCUUUGUAAUGUAACUUUUUAAGAUUCAAAUUAUUUUUUUUUCCAAAAAAAUUGUUAUUUAAUUAUUGGGCAAAUCUCCAAAAUAGCACAUUUCUAAGUUUAUGUCACAAAAAUAGCCCUCAAAAACUAAAAUGACUAAAAUAGCAUUUUAUCUUUUGAAAAAUUUAAUUUUUUUUUAUUUUUCAAAAUUUGAAAUCUUAUCCCAAAACUCCAUUCCCCAACUCUAAACCCUAAAACAUAAACCCUAAACCCUAAACUCUAAAAUAUAAACCCUAAACCCUAAAUCCUAAACCCCACCCCUUAACCCUAAACCCUAAAUCCUAAACCCCACUCCUAAACUCUAAACCCUAAACCCUAAACUCUAAACCCUAAACCCUAAACCUCACCCCUUAACUCUAA